AUAGCUUUUAGGGUACAAAUUGUGCACCCUUUGCUGAUGAUCCAUGCAUGAAAAUAAGGAGGAGGUGCUCAAGAGUUGGGCGCCCCUUAACUUGCCAUGUUUGGAUAAUCCUUGACUAGGUAUUUGACCUAGACAAGGACUCUAUCAUAUCUCUCUGUAUAAAAUGAGUUUCUUUAUGAAAUUUUAGGAGAAGAUAUAGAUUUGAGAGACCUUUGUGCAUCCAAAAAUCAGAGAGAAAGACCUUUAGAUCGUGGAGAUAUAAAAGAUGCAAGUUAGGAUAUCUAGAGAGAAAAACGUGAAGAAGAAGAGGGUCUUCUUCUAGGGUUUUUUUUUGUUUUCAUAUCUUUUCUCCCUCCAUCUUGAGUUUCCUGAGAGUGUCUCAGAUCUAAAACUCUUCCUUCUACUUUUCAUCUUUGGAAGAGUCCAAAUCAAGAAGAAGGAGGCACCUGAUCAACCAUCAAAGAAGGAUCAGUGCAGUACUAGCAUACUGUGCUGAUUUUCUGAAGCAGGACUUCUGAUCAAGAUUCGUGGGCUUGUGUGGAUGACUCCUAGAGGCCAGACGCGUGUGCAGCUUGCAACAUCAUCCUUAAGCCUGGAUCAGCGAGGUUAGAGUGUCUAACUUGCAAGGUAAUAGAUCUGAUCUAUUGUUUAAUAGAUACAUUAG
rnacentral:lncRNA from 1 species